AGUGAACGCUGGCGGUAGGCCUAACACAUGCAAGUCGAACGGCAGCACAGUAAGAGCUUGCUCUUACGGGAGGCGAGUGGCGGACGGGUGAAGAAUACAUCGGAAUCUACUUUUUCGUGGGGGAUAACGUAGGGAAACUUACGCUAAUACCGCAUACGACCUACGGGUGAAAGCAGGGGAUCUUCGGACCUUGCGCGUUUGAAUGAGCCGAUGUCGGAUUAGCUAGUUGGCGGGGUAAAGGCCCACCAAGGCGACGAUCCGUAGCUGGUCUGAGAGGAUGAUCAGCCACACUGGAACUGAGACACGGUCCAGACUCCUACGAGAGGCAGCAGUGGGGAAUAUUGGACAAUGGGCGCAAGCCUGAUCCAGCCAUACCGCGUGGGUGAAGAAGGCCUUCGGGUUGUAAAGCCCUUUUGUUGGGAAAGAAAAGCAGCAGGUUAAUACCCCGCUGUUCUGACGGUACCCAAAGAAUAAGCACCGGCUAACUUCGUG
rnacentral:rRNA from 1 species